CGUACAGUUUGUUUUGCAGUCUUUUAUCGACGUACGCUUACGGGAUAAAUAAUUACACGUGAAACGUUAGGAAAUCGAUGACUAUAAUACCACUGCACUGGCAACGGAAAACGAAAAAACUAAGCAAUUUAAAACGUGCGGGUACAUACGAUGUUACGGGUACCGUUAAACGAAUUUCGUUAACGCGAUCCGUUUUUACACGGCAUUUUACUCAAUAUGUUGUUAUCGGGGGAGAGAACAAUGCACCGGCGGCGAGCGUUUCAUUUUUGAAUAGAUUAUUGAGCCAGUCAAGAGCAUUUUUU